GUAUAAGUUUAUCAACGCUUUUUAAGGCGAGGACAUAUAUUUACAUUCUAUGAGACAUACGAUGGGUUGAUGAUAAGACGUAAAGGCCUUUUUUAAGGGCCCUUACAAUGGGUUCACAGGUGUGUGUGGAUUAAGGGCUCGGGCGUGCACGUGCCCCGAAAGGCCAGCUACAACCCUCGCCGGUAAUUCAAUAAUGAUCCUUCCGCAGGUUCACCUACGGAAA
rnacentral:misc_RNA from 1 species